GAUGAACGCUAGCGACAGGCCUAACACAUGCAAGUCGAGGGGCAGCACGGGAGUAGCAAUACAACUGGUGGCGACCGGCGCACGGGUGAGUAACACGUAUGCAACCUACCUGUAAGAGGGGAAUAACCCGGAGAAAUUCGGACUAACACCGCAUAAUACCUCGAAGCUGCAUGGCUUUGAGGUUAAAUAUUUAUAGCUUACAGAUGGGCAUGCGUAACAUUAGAUAGUUGGUGAGGUAACGGCUCACCAAGUCAACGAUGUUUAGGGGUUCUGAGAGGAAGGUCCCCCAACUGGUACUGAGACACGGACCAGACUCCUACGGGAGGCAGCAGUGAGGAAUAUUGGUCAAUGGGCGAGAGCCUGAACCAGCCAAGUCGCGUGAAGGAAGAAUGUCCUAUGGAUUGUAAACUUCUUUUGUAAGGGAAUAAAAAAGCUUAACGUGUAGGCUAUUGUAUGUACUUUACGAAUAAGGAUCGGCUAACUCCGUGCCAGCAGCCGCGGU
rnacentral:rRNA from 1 species